GACGAACGCUGGCGGCGUGCUUAACACAUGCAAGUCGAACGGUAAGGCCCCUUCGGGGGUACACGAGUGGCGAACGGGUGAGUAACACGUGGGUGAUCUGCCCUGCACUUCGGGAUAAGCCUGGGAAACUGGGUCUAAUACCGGAUAGGACCACGCUCUGCAUGGAGUGUGGUGGAAAGCUUUUGCGGUGUGGGAUGGGCCCGCGGCCUAUCAGCUUGUUAGUGGGGUGAUGGCCUACCAAGGCGACGACGGGUAGCCGGCCUGAGAGGGUGUCCGGCCACACUGGGACUGAGAUACGGCCCAGACUCCUACGGGAGGCAGCAGUGGGGAAUAUUGCACAAUGGGCGCAAGCCUGAUGCAGCGACGCCGCGUGGGGGAUGACGGCCUUCGGGUUGUAAACCUCUUUCAGUACCGACGAAGCGCAAGUGACGGUAGGUACAGAAGAAGCACCGGCCAACUACGUG
rnacentral:rRNA from 1 species